rnacentral:rRNA from 1 species
AUUGAACGCUGGCGGCAUGCCUUACACAUGCAAGUCGAACGGCAGCGGGCCUUCGGGUGCCGGCGAGUGGCGAACGGGUGAGUAAUGCAUCGGAACGUGCCAUUGAGUGGGGGAUAACGUAGCGAAAGUUACGCUAAUACCGCAUAUUCUGUGAGCAGGAAAGCAGGGGACCGCAAGGCCUUGCGCUCUUUGAGCGGCCGAUGUCAGAUUAGCUAGUUGGUGAGGUAAAGGCUUACCAAGGCGACGAUCUGUAGCGGGUCUGAGAGGAUGAUCCGCCACACUGGAACUGAGACACGGUCCAGACUCCUACGGGAGGCAGCAGUGGGGAAUUUUGGACAAUGGGCGCAAGCCUGAUCCAGCCAUGCCGCGUGAGUGAAGAAGGCCUGGUGU